ACUUAUAUUCUGUAGCAAGGUUAACCGAAUAGGGGAGCCGAAGGGAAACCGAGUCUUAACUGGGCGUUAAGUUGCAGGGUAUAGACCCGAAACCCGGUGAUCUAGCCAUGGGCAGGUUGAAGGUUGGGUAACACUAACUGGAGGACCGAACCGACUAAUGUUGAAAAAUUAGCGGAUGACUUGUGGCUGGGGGUGAAAGGCCAAUCAAACCGGGAGAUAGCUGGUUCUCCCCGAAAGCUAUUUAGGUAGCGCCUCGUGAAUUCAUCUCCGGGGGUAGAGCACUGUUUCGGCAAGGGGGUCAUCCCGACUUACCAACCCGAUGCAAACUGCGAAUACCGGAGAAUGUUAUCACGGGAGACACACGGCGGGUGCUAACGUCCGUCGUGAAGAGGGAAACAACCCAGACCGCCAGCUAAGGUCCCAAAGUCAUGGUUAAGUGGGAAACGAUGUGGGAAGGCCCAGACAGCCAGGAUGUUGGCUUAGAAGCAGCCAUCAUUUAAAGAAAGCGUAAUAGCUCACUGGUCGAGUCGGCCUGCGCGGAAGAUGUAACGGGGCUAAACCAUGCACCGAAGCUGCGGCAGCGACGCUUAUGCGUUGUUGGGUA
rnacentral:rRNA from 1 species